CUUGCAUCUCUAUUUGGAUGACUCCAAGCCAUGUUCUCUUUCUUUUGCUGCACAAUCAAUGGCCUGCUGAGCAUUUCCCGCUUGAAAAUUCUCAUCCAAGAGCCCACAAAACAAAUAUAGAGGGUUUCCAUGGAUUGCUACACAAUUGGAGCCAUAGGAACAAUUCCAUCAAAACAGAGCCUUUAUUACCUGUAAGAUAAUGACAGGAGGUGAAGGAAGUAUAUGAAGUCCCUGAAAGAAAGAAAAUGGGUUGCCAGUGGUUUCUUGUUCCGUAAGUAUCUGUCCGACUCCCUCACACAGUGUAAAAGGCCUUCAACAUUUGGUCCCUAGCCCGUCUACACAGCAUUAUCUCCUACCAGCAUUCAUCCUCCCCACCCACAAUUUCUGAUGAUUCCCUUUAAGUCUUUGCUGUACACUGUAUACACUGUCCCCCUCAACUGAAUGUCCUUUGCCCCUUAUCUUGUAAAUUCUAUUCAUCAUUUAAGAGUGAGUUCAGUCAGAUAGAAGUACUGGAAUUGCUGAAAAGAGAAGCUGCCACAUUUGUACCGUGAGAAAAGAGAAUGAGUACUAUUAGUGUUGAGUGGCCCAUGUCUCUGUUUCUGAAGGAUGACAGAGAAAGUUUUGUGUUUUUCAUUGUAUUUGCAUCUUUGUGGAGCUGGCCAUAUUUAAUGGAAUUACUAUUAUAUAAUUUAGAAUUUUG
rnacentral:lncRNA from 1 species